AGCCAGCAGCAGUCCUGGGUUCCUGAUGCUGCCAUGGGCUCCAGGCUCCUCUGCUGUGUGACUCUCUGCCUCCUGGGAGCAGGCCUGGUGGAUUCUGGGGUCACCCAGACCCCCAAAUACCUGAUCAGAUCAAGAAAGCAGCAAGUGAUUCUGAGAUGUUCCCCUGAGUCUGGACACCGCUAUGUAUCCUGGUACCAACAGGCCCUGGGCCAGGGCCCCCGGUUCCUUGUUCAGUAUUAUGAUGGGAAAGUGCGUACCAAAGGAAACAUGCCAGAUCGAUUCUCAGGUGUACAGUUCAGUGACUCUCGCUCUCAGAUGAACCCGAGCUCCUUGGAGCUGACAGACUCAGCCGUGUAUCUCUGUGCCAGCAGGCAAGACACAGCCUUGCGUGAUCAGGCAGCUGGGCCUUCCACCACGGAGAAAGGAGAUGUGCCCAACGGGUACAGUGUCUCCGGAUCAAGCACAGAGAACUUCCCUCUCACGCUGGAGUCUGCCAACUGCCCCCAGACAUCUGUGUACUUCUGCGCCAGCAGUUACUCCACGGCCCUGCAUGGCCGCCUCCUCUCUGGGCAAUAG